AAUCAGCAGAUUUCGAGCUUCAGCUUUUCUUUAUCCUCUUUCCUUAUCAGGAUUCCUCAAAUUCCCUUGGAAAUAAUUCUAUUAUGAGGUAAUAUCAUUGUUCAGUUUAUAUUUCCUUCUCUUCCUACCAAUUUUAGAACUCAAUAUACUUUAUUGAGUAUCCUACUCAAUGAGGUCCUCUUAUUUUACCUUGCAUGUUCAAAUCGGAAGUGGCAUUCCUUGAUAUAUGACUGGGCUUGGCCAAAUUCGUCUUGUCUCCAUCUUUUCCUGUCGAAUUUCAUGAGGGAAAGUUGGUUCAGUGGGCCUCCUAUAACUCAAAGGAGAUCAGUGGACGAUGGUGUUGCAUCGAUUAUUCACCCAACAUCCCUUAGCUUUGGACUCCAGGUGGGGGGACUCGCCCUAGUUAGUGGUUUUCUAUACUGUUUUAUAGUUUGAAAAUUGGUUUUCUAUGAUUAUUCUUAUUUGAGAUAAUGAGGGUGACCUGAGAGUGAGAGGAGCAUAGCAACUUCCUUGGGCUUCGAUCCCCUAAACCUCCGGAGGGGCCGUAUGGACGGUAGAGUGUCUGACAUCCUUUGAGGUGUGGCACUGCUUCUAGGUGAUACGGCGUAAGUGGACACUCUCGCUACGCCUUGCCGGUUUAAACGAUAGUAAUCGUGGUAAGGGUGUAGUUGGCUUUAUGAUCGGUCAUCAGUUGUGUGAUUGCAGGUACUGUGCACGAAGACGGGACAGCUAGGAUUGGCGAUGGGUGUGGCAUGCUUUCUCUCAAUUUCAAAUUUGUGUAUUGUCGAAAAGUUGUUCCCGUUAACAGGUUUUGGAUUGUGGAUUCCAAAUCCUAUUAUCUAUCUCAUGAUUCUACCUAUUUCAUAAAUCCUUGUUUUGUAGUAAGUUUGUAACAAUUGAUCGGAACAUCUUCUUCAAUUAUUUUCUACCGGUUAUGUGUUUGCUAUGAAGUUAUUGAUUCAGAAAUUGCA